UACGUAGGGUGCGAGCGUUAAUCGGAAUUACUGGGCGUAAAGCGUGCGCAGGCGGUGAGCUGUGUCCGAUGUGAAAGCCCCGGGCUUAACCUGGGAAUGGCAUUGGAAACUGGCUCGCUGGAGUGUGGCAGAGGGGGGUGGAAUUCCGCGUGUAGCAGUGAAAUGCGUAGAGAUGCGGAGGAACGCCGAUGGCGAAGGCAGCCCCCUGGGCUAACACUGACGCUCAGGCACGAAAGCGUGGGGAGCAAACAGG
rnacentral:rRNA from 1 species